rnacentral:rRNA from 1 species
GAUCAACGCUGGCGGCAUGCCUAACACAUGCAAGUCGAGCGAGAAAGUGUAGCAAUACAUGAGUAAAGCGGCGCACGGGUGAGUAACACGUGGAUAACCUGCCUCAAAGUGGGGAAUAACACCGGGAAACCGGUGCUAAUACCGCAUAUUCUGACGAGAUCUGUGGAUUUUGUCAGGAAAGGAGCAAUUCGCUAUGAGAGGGGUCCGCGGCUGAUCAGCUAGUUGGUGAGGUAAUGGCUCACCAAGGCUUCGAUCAGUAGCCGGUCUGAGAGGACGGUCGGCCACACUGGAACUGAGACACGGUCCAGACUCCUACGGGAGGCAGCAGUGGGGAAUUUUUCGCAAUGGGGGAAACCCUGACGAAGCAAUGCCGCGUGGAUGAUGAAGUAUCUCGGUACGUAAAAUCCUUUCGACGGGGACGAAGCCGCAAGGUUGACGGUACCCGUAGAAGAAGCCCCGGCUAACUCCGUGCCAGCAGCCGCGGUAAUACGGGGGGGGCAAGCGUUGUUCGGAAUUACUGGGCGCAAAGGGUGCGUAGGCGGCUUUCUAAGUCGGAUGUGAAAACUCUGGGCUCAACCCAGAGCCUGCAUCUGAAACUGGAGAGCUAGGGUUUUGGAGGGGAAAGCGGAAUUCCAGGUGUA